rnacentral:rRNA from 1 species
GGAUUAGCUAGUUGGUGGGGUAACGGCUCACCAAGGCGACGAUCCGUAGCUGGUUUGAGAGGACGACCAGCCACACUGGGACUGAGACACGGCCCAGACUCCUACGGGAGGCAGCAGUGGGGAAUUUUGGACAAUGGGGGAAACCCUGAUCCAGCCAUCCCGCGUGUGCGAUGAAGGCCUUCGGGUUGUAAAGCACUUUUGGCAGGAAAGAAACGUCAUGGGCUAAUACCCCGUGAAACUGACGGUACCUGCAGAAUAAGCACCGGCUAACUACGUGCCAGCAGCCGCGGUAAUACGUAGGGUGCAAGCGUUAAUCGGAAUUACUGGGCGUAAAGCGUGCGCAGGCGGUUCGGAAAGAAAGAUGUGAAAUCCCAGAGCUUAACUUUGGAACUGCAUUUUUAACUACCGAGCUAGAGUGUGUCAGAGGGAGGUGGAAUUCCGCGUGUAGCAGUGAAAUGCGUAGAUAUGCGGAGGAACACCGAUGGCGAAGGCAGCCUCCCGGGAU